rnacentral:lncRNA from 1 species
UUGAAUUUUCAUGUGCUCCUAUUUCGCUAUAAUAGUUAUAUAAAAGAAAGCUCUUGGUAAGUUUUUAUAUAAAAAAUUUAGAACGAUGUGUUCGUCAUUUUUUUUUUUUUUUUUGAGAGGAAGGCAGCAUGCUACUCAUUUCGUUUAUUUCUUUUAUAAAUAAACUUAAAAGAAAGCUCUUGGUAAGUUUUUAUAUAAAGAAUUUAAAACGAUGCGUUCGUCAUUUUUUUUUUUUUUUGAGAGGAAGGCAGCAUGCUACUCAUUUCGUUUAUUUCUUUUAUAAGUAAACUUAGCUGGAAAUGUGAUUCAAUUAAAAUUCGAACUUGAGACCUCGGGUACCAACCAGUAAGCCCUUUGUCACUUGCGUUAGGGACAGUUGGUGCGUUUGUCUUGUUUUGAUGGAAAAAUCAUUGAUU